rnacentral:sRNA from 1 species
GGUAGCCGGUAUUCAAUCUUCAAAUCAGCGCCGCGGGAAGUGCUGGCGGGGGCUGCUCUCCUGUCUCUGGACGACGCUGUGACUGAUCCCGGCUUGGAGCCGAAGCUGCGAGCGAGGCAGUGAAAGGGUGGCAGGAAUCAGUGACAUUCCAGGAUGUGGCUGUGGAUUUCACCGUAGAGGAGUGGCAGCUGCUUGAUUGUGCUGAGAGAACCCUGUAUUGGGAUGUGAUGUUGGAGAACUAUAGAAACCUCAUCUCAGUGGGAUUUCCAAUUACCAAAACAAAAGUGAUCCUCAAGGUAGAGCAAGGACAAGAGCCAUGGAUGGUGGAGGGAGUGAAUCCACACCAGAGCUCUCCAGAAUCUGACUGCCCACUUGUUGAUGAACCAGGGAAGCAUCGGGAAAGCAAAGACAAUUUUUUGAAGUCAGUUUUGCUCACGUUCAAUAAAAUUCUGACUAUGGAGAGAAUCCACCAUUAUAAUAUGAGCACAAGUCUUAAUCCAAUGAGAAAAAAAUCAUAUAAAUCGUUUGAGAAGCGUUUGCCACCUAAUUUAGACUUACUUA